AAACUGCCUUUUUUCCUACACACAUUUACAUAUCUACUGGAGCAAAUAAACACCCAAUCUGUAGCCUGCUAGACUAAAUGGACUGCAUUGUUUCCAAUAUAAAAUAUAACACUGCGACACAAUAGCAACAGUUACAGAGUUGUGCCAUAAGAAUUGUUCUACUGGCACUGGAGAGCUGGUUUAGCAGUUAUGAGCGCAUCCACUCACAAUUGCCUGUGACUCCAGUUCCAGGAGAACCCAUGCCUCUGGCUUCCAUGAGCACCUGCUCUCAUGUGUAUACAGCCACACACAGACAAAAAAAAAUACUCUUUUUUAAAAGAGAGAGUUGUUACAUAACUUUCUGCAGACUGAUGGUCACCAAAAAAAAAAAAAAAAAAAAGUCCUUAACUGUGCUAGCAAAAUGGCUCAGUAUUAAGAGCGCUUGCUGAUUUACCUUAAAAGCUUUUCAUGUCAGAAUCCCCAAGGGAAAAAUCAUAAUACAGCAUCAUUAAAGCCCAGAACUGUCCGUCAGGCAUGCACUGAGAGCAUCAGCUGUGCUCAGCCCUGGUGGCAUCAGCCUGAGAUCCUGCAGUGCAUACAAGGGAGGCCUUCAGUGCCAUUUCAUGGCCUUACCUUCCAGAUCACUUCCACUUCAGUGUACAUCUGCGGAUGUGGAUCCCACCCGGCUCUCAAAGCCACAGCAUGGUCUGCUCAUACAGCCAUUUCACGAAGCCACUGUCACUGCCCAGGACAGAGUUUCUGGGCACCUCAGCCUUAAGGGUUAAAAAAAGAAAACAAAGCCACUUGAGCCAAAUGACAUUCUCUCGCCAUUAGCAGCUUUCAUAUUUUUUUAAAAGCCUCAUAUUCAUUUUCUUCUUUUAGUCCCUAUCACUUUGUGGACAUAUUUAUAAUAGGAAUAAAUCUUCCUUUAAGCCUAUCUGACGCAUAAAUUGCCACAUCAACACUGAUCAUCAGCGUUCAGUAACCGCAUCCAGGCAACAGCUAUAAAUGAGACCCUGGGAAUAGUCAGUGGGUACCCAGACCCUGAGCCAUUGGUCAAAUAGCCUGUCAAUCCACCAUGUCCAAGUACCAAUUAAUAAUUCAUAUCACACACCUAAGGAGUACAAGGCAGAUUGUGAUCCUAAGUACCAUGGCCACUUUCCUUUCUGUAGUAUCAUCUUAAGGCCAACAUAUGACAAUUUUGAGGCAAACAUAUUCUGUACAUAUAAACAGGGAUUUAUUUAUCUCCCACAAGAAAAAUAGUGCAUCUGUAUAAUGUGAAUUUUACGUGUACAUGGGUGGACAUAGCAGAGAACAUUUGUUCACUUCUGAAACUGCAUUGUGACCUAACAGAGGGUUGGUGCCUUUUCUCAGCCACGGAGCGAUGACUUUGGGAGAAUCUUUUUUGUCGACAGACAUACAGUCUACAUGCACAUAUUUAGAAAUAUAGACAUCCAAUGCUCUGCAAUGUACAGACCAAAGCAUGAUCAGGCAGAAAGACUUCACUUCAUACACAGGUCAAAUACAGACAGGUUUUUCUUUUAGGUUCAGAGGGAAGGUUAAUCAGAUAAUCUAAAAGCUGGCAGGAAAUAUGGUCUUGCGAAUUCCUGAAGUUAUGGAUAACAUCAAAAAUUAACUUCUUACAGGGUGAGAAGAACAUAAAAUCUGAGAAUUCUUUCAAGUCUAAAAAAAGUAUUGCGAUAUUAAAACAUAGACAAAAUUUAUUUUUUAUUAAGUUCUACUUCCAAAAUUUCAAACAAUGUGCUUUCAACACACAUCUUAUAAUGUUGUUAUGUUUUAUUGCCAAAAGUAACUUCAUAUUGAUAUUCCAGAAAUGCCGCAGGGCCUUUAUUUAACUAGUUGCUAUUUUACUUCAAAAAAAUAAAUAAUGCUUCCUGUUUUUACUUUUACUUAUCUGGAAUAAGUAGAUAUUGACAUCUGCUGAAGUCAGUAUAAAGAUUUAUUUACCUGAGUUCAAAUAGUGACCAAUAGGGAGUCUGGCUCACUGUUUAUAUUGAAGGACAAUAAAUUGUAAUAUUGACUGGGCUGAGACAUCAAUAUUUGCAUUGUCGUAAACAUUUUAAAAAUCUUCAUGAAAUAUUCCCCAGAAAUUUUCCUGUCAUCAGAGUGGCUGAGCUAGGGCUGUAUGAAGAACAGCUUGUGUAUGGAAGCUACUAGGUAACCUAAAAAAAGUCGUAAAUUGUUCUUAUUUCCAACUUCACACAAAGACGCAUUGCAUGUAUGUUUAGUGUUGAUCAUUAGAAAUCUUCAGGUUGCAACCUCAGACCACAUCACCCAAGCACAUGUUCCUGAACAGAGAGAGCCUCUGUCUUGAACUUUAGUCUUGUGCAUUUCAUGUUGUGAGAGAUGCCUCAUUGUUGCAAAACAGUGGGACAUUAUUAGUUUCAACUGGACUUAAUAAAAGUCGUGACUGCUAGGGAUGCUAGGGAACUACU
rnacentral:lncRNA from 1 species